rnacentral:rRNA from 1 species
AGCGAACGCUGGCGGCAGGCUUAACACAUGCAAGUCGAACGGCCGUAGCAAUACGGCAGUGGCAGACGGGUGAGUAACACGUGGGAAUGUACCUCUCGGUUCGGAAUAACCCAGGGAAAC